rnacentral:misc_RNA from 1 species
UUUCCGUAGGUGAACCCGCGGAAGGAUCAUUAUUGUAUAACCGAGGUGCGAGGGCUGUCGCUGACCCGAAAGGUCGUGCACGCCCGAGUGCCCUCACACACAUCCAUCUCACCCCUAUGUGCACCACCGCGCGGGUCCCCCUUUGGCUUGUUCGGAGGGGGGCUUACGUUUUCACACAAACUUUGUAUGCAGUGUAGAAUGUAUUUUUUGUUUUUGCGAUCACGCAAUCAAUACAACUUUCAACAACGGAUCUCUUGGCUCUC